GAAGUCUUGCCUUGUAAUUACCCUGGUCAUAACCCUGUAUGUCCACACUUCCACACCAUUUUUGCUGAAAAGAUGAUCAUGGACUUUGGAGAAUAUUCUAAUUCAAUGGGCAAUCAGCUGAAUUUACACUAAAGCAGCAUGUAAACUGGGUAACCAGAUGUGUUCUUGAAUUUCCUGAAUUUUAUGUAUCAUCUGGAUGAAGCAUCUGGAUCCACCUCAUUGUGUAGCCUUUACUGACACAAAAUACUUUGGACUGGCAGGUAAAGGAAACCAGAAUCAGCUGGUAGUGUUCAGCUUGCUCCAAAGCUUGUUGGAUUGCCCUUAAUGACUACAUUAAGCUGAUCAGAAGCAGAGGGGAGCUGGUAGCUAUGCAAGAUACUGAACUUGCUUUCUAAUCCCAGCUCAGUCAGAGUGCUAUUUUCCUAUAUCUCUGUGAGCAGUGAAUUCUCACUUGGACUCAUCCAGGAGACAGAAAUGUUUCUGUGUAUGGAACUGGAAACAUGGUCACUACUCAGCUAAAAAAAUGUAUCUGCCGCUGGUGGAACCCGGAAGAACAACAAACUCACAUUUCUAUGGACUCCUAGCAAAACAUAGCCUGUUUUUUUCCCCUGAAGAUAAAUUUUCACAGACACAAUGCAGCCACACUGUAUUUAUAGCUGCAGAUGGCUGUUCUUUCCCCUUAGCCUCACAAGUGUGUGUAUCAAACAAUAGGAAACUCUGCAGAAGUGUUUUUCAUCGUUUUGUUGUAUGUGAGCCUGUCAUUUACGCACAGCCUCUGUGGAAAAUAUCCCCUCCCUUUUCUGCCAUUUGAAUGAUGUUUCCCUUCAGGGGUAUUCUUUUCUGAAAAGUCAAAUUAAUGUGUUCUGUGUGGUGUAGCAUACAACAAAUGCCAUGAACUCCUCCCCUCAAGCAAGCUGAACAAUCCCUGCAGACCUGUGCAGGCAUCACGGGCCCAUUCUUAAUAUUCCAGAAGUGACUUUUACAAUUGAACGGGUUAUAUGGUAUGUUGUGUGCUAGCAGUGUCACUGGCACUGUCAGAGUACAGCAUCUUGAUUUGA